rnacentral:lncRNA from 1 species
AGGGAACACAGAUAUCCCAUCUUCCAAAGGUCUUUCUAUGUCUGUGCUUUGAAUUUCCAGGCUAGGAAACAAUAACAAUUGUGCACAGUGCCCCGUGGACAAUUUGGCCAGGGUACAAGAAUUACAACCAGAGUUUCAAAAAUCUCAGUAGUGCCAGAAAAGAUCAGCCACCCAAAGUAUCACUUAGGAGAUCCCUGGGGAGUAAAUCUCAGCUUAUUGCAAUACUGAGGGCAGCCAGAUGUUUGGUGGGGGAGGCUUUUGGAGCUGAAUAUUGUGGCAUUUCCCAGACAGUGGUCAACUGGCCACUUCCCUUGCUCAACCUGGGUGACAGCUUGAAGACUUCAGUGCCUGACCUAGCUGGCAAAUAUUGGGAUGGUGCAAAAUCCCUCCCUGACACAAGGACAUCUGCCAGGGUUCUGAUAACAAAGCUAGCAGAACUCUUUCAGGCACUUUGCUCUGCUGGCACUGCCAUCCCUGCUGCUCUGCCUUAUCCAUGGGACUGGAUGAAGAUAGAGUGUGACCAAAAAGCAAGUUGAAGACAAUCCCUUGGAGAGAGGCAUGAGAGAUGCUGGAACAAGCAAAAUUCAUGACAGCUGUCUGUCUGGAGAUUUCCCCAGUUAGUAGCCACACCUGGACCAUCAUAUUCUGCAGAGGCCAGUGACCAUGCCCUCUGUUACUUCAUUUAAUCUCCUUUUGUACCAAGACCUUUGGUCUCUGCAGCAUCCUGUGGCAGUGUCUCCUGAGGUUCAAGCAUGCAAAAGGAUUCUUUCUUUAUAUUUGUUGCCUGAUAAUUUUACCAGGAAUGCACUGAUUCUGGCAAUAUUACAAGAGUGAUUCAAGACUUCCUGUUCACCUUCAGCAUUUUAUGUUUAUGCUUCCCAUACCAGUGGAUCCUCUCCCAGAUUGAAAUGUCUUGGUCUCUGUAGGCACUCUAGUGCUCUACAAAGUUUUUUUCCCUGAUGUCUCACAAAUAAUCAUUUUUCCAUUCCAUCCUUACGACUGACUGCCACACCUGGGGUGACCACUGCAGCAGCUGAUGAAGCAAUAGUCACCAAUCUUCCUUUUGUCAGAUCCUCCCACACAGGCAAUCUCUUUUGCCUUUCUUCCCUGUCCUUUUCCCAGUGCCUGCUUGCCCUCUCCACUUGGAGCCUUGUUAAGACUGCAGGCUGUGUUCCCUGACCAGAACAGAUGAGAAAGGGAACACUGUGAAUGUUGACGGGAUGUAGAGGUUCACGAUUACCAGUGUCAGCUCACAGGCUGUACAAACAAACUGUUUGUGGCCUAUUUCUCACUCAAGAUACUUUUAGGCUUAAUAAAAGAAACUCUCAAAUUUAGUAAUGAAUUAUA